rnacentral:rRNA from 1 species
UACGUAGGGAGCAAGCGUUGUUCGGAUUUACUGGGCGUAAAGGGCGCGUAGGCGGCGCGGUAAGUCACUUGUGAAAUCUCUGAGCUUAACUCAGAACGGCCAAGUGAUACUGCAGUGCUAGAGUGCAGAAGGGGCAAUCGGAAUUCUUGGUGUAGCGGUGAAAUGCGUAGAUAUCAAGAGGAACACCUGAGGUGAAGACGGGUUGCUGGGCUGACACUGACGCUGAGUGCGCGAAAGCUAGGGUAGCAAACGGG